rnacentral:rRNA from 1 species
UACAGAGGUCCCAAGCGUUGUUCGGAUUUACUGGGCGUAAAGGGCGCGUAGGCGGCUUGCACCGUCAGAUGUGAAAUUCCUGGGCUUAACCUGGGGGCUGCAUUUGAUACGUGUGGGCUUGAGUGCGGAAGAGGGUCGUGGAAUUCCCAGUGUAGAGGUGAAAUUCGUAGAUAUUGGGAAGAACACCGGUGGCGAAGGCGGCGACCUGGUCCGUGACUGACGCUGAGGCGCGAAAGCGUGGGGAGCAAACAGG